CUCCCAUGCGGCUAAAAGCUGUGGGUGGCAGCACGGUGGUAAAAAGAUAACAAUAUUUAACAGCUUUCUUCAAUUAGCAUCAUCCCUGUGCUUUUGACUGUUAAACUCCUUGUUUUGCUUCACCUUCCAGGCCCGGAUAACCCUGUGGUUAACACCUUAUGAGCUAAAUGACAGAUGCCAGCACAAAGCAUUACUCCACUGAAAAUAUUUGUCGAAAAGUGAGCCGGCAGCUUUAGGGAGCUUUGGUGAAUGUGCAAAACGUUUUGCUAUUGUCCAGGCUCGAUAAUGGGAGAGGACAUUGAGGAGUUCUGCAGGAGACAGCAGUGUGAGAAGAGGUAGAUCCCCAUGGAGCACAAACAGAGGGCCUCAAAUUGCCACCACAGCAGCAGAGGUGCAGCAGGUGGGGAAGAUGAAGGUCACAAACAUAGCUUGGAAUGAACACAACUGAGCUACAGCUAGGCACAUUACACCGUGCAACAAUCAGUCCCUGUGUGUGUGUUGAAGGUUAAGAACUCUUACAGAGCUGUGCGGCCACGCUGCAGGGUCCUGUGGGCAGACAAAGUCCCCGGUGUCCAUGGAUGUGAUUGGUACAAGCAAGUUCUGUGGUCAGAGAUGGUUUCUAAGACAUGAUGUGAACACACUAACUUAGAUUUUGGGGUAACAUUAUGUCCUUUGAGAGUGAUUACACGAAUAAGACUCUCGUGUUGGUAUCUGCAGCAAUGACUCAAGCGCAGUUGCUGUUUGACUUGUUCUCUCCUUCAAUGUAUUCUUUGUUUUGCUAAGCUCUGGCUUCCAUUGUGCCCUCCCAUUUUUGCUUGUCGAGCAUCAUCACUCAGAAGCAAGCACAGCAGUGACCAGGUUGAAGGGACUCCAUUUCACCCACCAAGACUGUGUCAGGGGCUGCAUCCUUUGGAGGCUGAUGGUGCCGUGCCAGUGCUGGCGCCACUCUGCAGCUUUCUGCUGUGAGCUGCCCCACCUGCAGUGCACGGGGGUCACACUGCUGUCACUGCACACAGUGCCCUUUCCCUUGGUGUUGGCUUCUCCCUGCACACAGCCCUUUGAUAGCCAGCAAUUCCCAC
ensembl:lncRNA